GAUGAACGCUGGCGGCGUGCCUAAUACAUGCAAGUCGAGCGAACAGACGGUGAGCUUGCUCCCCUAACGUUAGCGACGGACGGGUGAGUAACACGUGGAUAACCUACCUAUAUGUCUGGGAUAACUUCGGGAGACCGGAUACACUAAUAGAUAAUAUAUUGAACCGCAUGGUUCAGUAGUGAAUGACGGCUUUGCUGUUUCUUUUAGCCGGUUCCGUGCCGCAUUAGCGAGUUGGUAAGGUAACGGCCUACCAAGGCGACGAUGAGUAGCCGACCUGAGAGGGUGAUCGGCCACACGGGAACUGAGACACGGUCCAGACUCCUACGGGAGGCAGCAGUGGGGAAUAUUGCGCAAUGGGCGAAAGCCUGACGGAGCAACGCCGCGUGAGUGAUGAAGGUCUUCGGAUCGUAAAACUCUGUUAUUGGGGAAGAACAGAUGUAUAAUAAAACAUGGACGUCUUGACGGUACCUAAACAAUAAGCCACGGCUAACUACGUG
rnacentral:rRNA from 1 species